AAGCCAAGAUAUGAGCUCGAAGCCAGAGAUCUCUGAGUCCUGGUCCCCAGCAGGUCUUUCACUGUGAAGGGGGUGCACAGCGCAUGGGAGCAGAGGGGCAAUGAUGCCCUUCCACAUGAGGUGGGUCCACCUUGAAGAUUGUGAAGCCUGUAGCAGUGUCUAAUAAGAACUGGCUUGCCAAACACUGUCUUCUACUUCAAUAUACUCUGGACUCAUGUUCCUCAAAGCACUGAAAAUGGGUCCAGGAAAAUCAGCCUUCUCUGCGUUCACGUGACAGUGAGCAGCAAUUAGCAAGGACUAAGUGAGUUUCACUUACGGUGCAGGCUUCUUCAAUGAGUGAAGAAGCAACUUGCAAAAACAUACAUGUGGUAGGGCAACAUUGCAAUGUAUGCAGCAGCCAUGUGAUUUAGGGAGAUAAAUAACAAAAACAGAGACCUUAACAAUUUCACAAUUUUCACCAAUAACAAAAAACAACAACAAGAACAACAACAAUUCACCAGUGGGAUGGGCAAGACUGUGUGGAGAGGGAUGAGGGGGCAUGUAAUUAAACCUUGUGUGGGUUUUUAUCAAAAUAUCAGCAAUGGGAAAGUUCGUUUAAAAAGUAAUAUUGAAGGCUCUUCCUGUGUAGGACAUGACACCACCCUGACUCUCAGAAUCCUCUGCUGCUGGGGCUCACAUUCAGCCUGUCUGCAGGGCAAGGGCACCUCACAUAUCAGUCACCACACUCAGCCUGCUGGCGUUCCUGUGUCUGGCAUACAGCCACUCAGGCACCGCACCUGGGCCUCUGCAGGCUGGGCAUUCUCACGAUAGAGCAAGCCUCUCUGUGCUCCAAUCCCAGAGUGCAUCUGGAUUUCUACAGGUGGGGUCUACCAACUCUGUCCAGGACAACGACUGAGGGCUUUGGGGCUUCUAGUUUGAAACUAGAUACUUAAGCCUGCUCAAGGACCAGAAACAAGCCAACAGAAAGCACCCGUGAGACUUGCAUAUUUUCUCCCUAGGAUACAGUGUUCCUCAGCCUACCUCUUCAACGGCAUCUUCCAGUGCAAGCAAACUAAAUUCUACUGUGUGCAUUGCACUUUGUUUCAGCAAGGGACGAGGAAGGUGUUCCUCUUUGUGUCAGGAGUGUUUACCCAUCAUUCCAUUUGUCAAGAUGGAAGGCAUCAGCAUGCAUGGCUGUAAAGUGAAACAUGAACUGGGGGCUCGAACCAUACAGCAUUUUCCAGAAAAUUCAGCUUCACUGUUAAAACAGCUUAACAUUAAGGAAAAAAACCAAAAACCAAAAGACUUCACAUGGCAAUUGAGACAAAGCAUCUGCUUAUGGACUGAAGAGUCAUGGUCAUACAGGACCAGGCAAGGGACCUUGGUGAAGUGCCAGAUAUGGUUAAGAUACUCCAGGAGGACAGCUGUGGCUUGGGGCCUCAGGAAGAGUGCUUCCCGAUUUUGCCUUCAUCUUCCCUUGGGAUAAUAUACCCCAGAAUGUUUUGCAUCUAUAAGAUGUAUAAGUGACUUUAGUUCACGAGACUCAGUGGGCUGCUGGGAUGGGUAGCUAAGAAGAUGUCUAAACUGCACCUAGGCACAUAGCAGUGGAAGUCCACAUGCCACUCAAAAGAUGAGGUAAAUCUGUAUAGUUGGGUACAUAAGAGUGUCAUCACAUAUCUCUCUCUCUCUCUCUAAGAAAGGGCAACUUCAUAUAUAUGUAUUGAAAACUAAAACAUGCUUAAAGGACAGACUGAACUCUUGGGGCUAAUACUAGCAAGGAGGAUUCGAACAUAAAAUGCAUUUCAGUUCUUACCUUCUCUAUGAAAAAUGCUUCCAUUUUCUGUAAUGUGUAUUAUUUGUCAAAGGUUCCUUUUUAAAAAUAAAACAAUGAAAUG
rnacentral:lncRNA from 1 species